rnacentral:rRNA from 1 species
UACGGAGGGGGCAAGCGUUGUUCGGAAUUACUGGGCGUAAAGGGCGCGCAGGCGGCUGCUCAAGUCAGGCGUGAAAGGCCUGGGCUCAACCCGGGAAUUGCGCUUGAGACUGGGCUGGCUUGAGUGCGGGAGAGGAUGGUGGAAUUCCCAGUGUAGAGGUGAAAUUCGUAGAUAUCAGGAAGAACACCAGUGGCGAAAGCGGCGACCUGGCCUGACAUUGACGCUCAUGCUCGAGAGCGUGGGGAGCAAACAGG